AGUGAACGCUGGCGGUAGGCCUAACACAUGCAAGUCGAACGGCAGCACAGUAAGAGCUUGCUCUUACGGGUGGCGAGUGGCGGACGGGUGAGGAAUACAUCGGAAUCUACUUUUUCGUGGGGGAUAACGUAGGGAAACUUACGCUAAUACCGCAUACGACCUACGGGUGAAAGCAUGGGAUCUUCGGACCUUGCGCGAUUGAAUGAGCCGAUGUCGGAUUCGCUAGUUGGCGGGGUAAAGGCCCACCAAGGCGACGAUCCGUAGCUGGUCUGAGAGGAUGAUCAGCCACACUGGAACUGAGACACGGUCCAGACUCCUACGGGAGGCAGCAGUGGGGAAUAUUGGACAAUGGGCGCAAGCCUGAUCCAGCCAUACCGCGUGGGUGAAGAAGGCCUUCGGGUUGUAAAGCCCUUUUGUUGGGAAAGAAAAGCAGCAGGUUAAUACCCCGCUGUUCUGACGGUACCCAAAGAAUAAGCACCGGCUAACUUCGUG
rnacentral:rRNA from 1 species